UCUAGAGCUGUACCACCCUGAACAUAUCCCAGCUCAACUGAUCUGCAAAGCUAAGCAGCCUGGGCCUGCUUAGUACUUGGAUGGGAAGCAUCCCAGUAGCAGGUGGGUUUCUGGAC
ensembl:rRNA 5S_rRNA 5S ribosomal RNA